GGGCUUGCAAUGGCAACACAUAUACUAAAAUUUGAAUGAUACGGAGAAGAUUAGCAUGGCCCCUGCACAAGGAUGAAAUGCAAAUUCAUGAAUUAUUCCACAUUUUU
ensembl:snRNA U6 U6 spliceosomal RNA